GGGUUGUGAGGUUAAGCGACUAAGCGUACACGGUGGAUGCCCUGGCAGUCAGAGGCGAUGAAGGGCGUGCUAAUCUGCGAUAAGCGCCGGUAAGGUGAUAUGAACCGUUAUAACCGGCGAUACCCGAAUGGGGAAACCCAGUGUGACUCGUCACACUAUCAUUAACUGAAUCCAUAGGUUAAUGAGGCGAACCGGGGGAACUGAAACAUCUAAGUACCCCGAGGAAAAGAAAUCAACCGAGAUUCCCCCAGUAGCGGCGAGCGAACGGGGAGGAGCCCAGAGCCUGAAUCAGCAUGUGUGUUAGUGGAAGCGUCUGGAAAGGCGCGCGAUACAGGGUGACAGCCCCGUACACAAAAGCGCAUGUGCUGUGAGCUCGAUGAGUAGGGCGGGACACGUGGUAUCCUGUCUGAAUAUGGGGGGACCAUCCUCCAAGGCUAAAUACUCCUGACUGACCGAUAGUGAACCAGUACCGUGAGGGAAAGGCGAAAAGAACCCCGGCGAGGGGAGUGAAAAAGAACCUGAAACCGUGUACGUACAAGCAGUGGGAGCACAGGUUUACCUGUGUGACUGCGUACCUUUUGUAUAAUGGGUCAGCGACUUAUAUUCUGUAGCAAGGUUAACCGAAUAGGGGAGC
rnacentral:rRNA from 2 species